rnacentral:rRNA from 1 species
UAAGCGGAGGAAAAGAAACUAACAAUGAUUCCCCCAGUAACUGCGAGUGAAGAGGGACAAGCUCAAAUUUUAAAUCUGUUGGGUUUACCUAACCGAGUUGUAAUUUGAAGAGGCGUUAUCUGUGUUUUUGAUCAGCCCAAGUCCUUUGGGAUAAGGCAUCAUGGAGGGUGAGAAUCCCGUCCGGUUGAUCAGAUUCGCUUUACGAUACGUCAUCUAAGAGUCAAGUUGUUUGGGAUUGCAGCUUAAAAUGGGAGGUAAAUUUCUCCUAAGGCUAAAUAACGGCGAGAGACCGAUAGCGAACAAGUACCGUGAGGGAAAGAUGAAAAGAACUUUGAAAAGAGAGUUAAACAGUACGUGAAAUUGUUGAAAGGGAAACGAUUGAAGCCAGUCAUACCGGCGGGUAAUCAGCCUUUCGGGUGCGAUUCUGUGGAGUGUGAGGAGUUAAACGCCUUCAUGCCUGCAUAUUCGUGCACCUUGGGUGUACUUGCCCGUGUGGUAAGUUAACAUCAAUUUUGGGUCAUCAUAAAAUUGACUGGUGGAAUGUAGCUUCGGUCUCGUACUGAAGUGUUAUAGCCUCCGGUAGAUGUGAUGAUCGGGAUUGAGGAUUGCAACGGAUACCCCUUUCGGGGCUACCCGGUCUGAUCUCUGAAAGUUGCUCUGGUGUCGAAAGCGUGCUUACGGUCAUCAAAGUUGACGUUCAAUAGGUUAGAACGGUUAAAUUCGUUAAGAUGUGACGUAAUGGCUUUAAACGACCGUCUUGAAACACGGACCAAGGAGUCUUAGCAGUAUAUCGAGUGUU